rnacentral:rRNA from 1 species
GAUGAACGCUGGCGGCGUGCCUAAUACAUGCAAGUCGAGCGAACAGACGAGGAGCUUGCUCCUCUGACGUUAGCGGCGGACGGGUGAGUAACACGUGGAUAACCUACCUAUAAGACUGGGAUAACUUCGGGAAACCGGAGCUAAUACCGGAUAAUAUAUUGAACCGCAUGGUUCAAUAGUGAAAGACGGUUUUGCUGUCACUUAUAGAUGGAUCCGCGCCGCAUUAGCUAGUUGGUAAGGUAACGGCUUACCAAGGCGACGAUGCGUAGCCGACCUGAGAGGGUGACAGGCCACACUGGAACAGAAACAGGGUCCAGACUCCAGCGGGAGGCGAAAGUAGGAAAUCCGCAGCAAGGGGAAAAAGCCGGAAGGAGAAACGCCGGGGGAGAAAUAAAGGUAUUGGAAUCGAAAAACUUUUUUAUUAGGGAAAAAAAAAUGUGAAAGAAAAAAUGCACGUCUUAAGGGUACCAAAUAAAAAAGCCACGACAAAAAAGGUC